UUGGGGGUGAGGUUGGUGUCUGG
rnacentral:miRNA from 1 species